rnacentral:rRNA from 1 species
AUUCCAGCUCCAAUAGCGUAUAUUUAAGUUGUUGCAGUUAAAAAGCUCGUAGUUGGAUUUCGGGUGGGUACCGCCGGUCUCCCACUGGGUAUGUACUGGCGUGGCCCGCCUCGCUGUCGGGGACGAUCUCCUGGGCUUUACUGUCCGGGAAUCGGAGUCGACGAUGUUACUUUGAGUAAAUUAGAGUGUUCAAAGCAAGCCUACGCUCUGAAUAUAAUAGCAUGGGAUAACACGACAGGACUCUGGCCUAUCGUGUUGGUCUGUAGGACCGGAGUAAUGAUUAAGAGGGACAGUCGGGGGCAUUCGUAUUCCAUUGUCAGAGGUGAAAUUCUUGGAUUUAUGGAAGACGAACAUCUGCGAAAGCAUUUGUCAAGGAUGUUUUCAUCA